rnacentral:rRNA from 1 species
GACGAACCGUGCGAACGUUAUUCGGAAUCACUGGGCGUAAAGGGCGCGUAGGCGGCCAUUCAAGUCAGGGGUGAAAGCCUGUGGCUCAACCACAGAAUUGCCUUUGAUACUGUUUGGCUAGAGACCGGAAGAGGUAAGUGGAACUGCGAGUGUAGAGGUGAAAUUCGUAGAUAUUCGCAAGAACACCAGUGGCGAAGGCGGCUCACUGGCCCAUAACUGACGCUGAGGCGCGAAAGCCAGGGGAGCAAACGGG